AACCGAGAACUCCUACGGGAGGCAGCAGUGGGGAAUUUUGGACAAUGGGGCAACCCUGAUCCAGCAACGCCGCGUGAGUGAAGUAGGCCUUCGGGUCGUAAAGCUCUUUUGUCAGGGAAGAAACGGUAGUAACUAAUAUCUAUUACUGAUGACGGUACCUGAAGAAUAAGCACCGGCUAACUACGUGCCAGCAGCCGCGGUAAUACGUAGGGUACAAGCGUUAAUCGGAAUUACUGGGCGUAAAGCGUGCGCAGGCGGUUGUGUAAGUCAGAUGUGAAAUCCCCGGGCUCAACCUGGGAAUUGCAUUUGAGACUGCACGGCUAGAGUGUGUCAGAGGGGGGUAGAAUUCCACGUGUAGCAGUGAAAUGCGUAGAUAUGUGGAGGAAUACCGAUGGCGAAGGCAGCCCCCUGGGAUAACACUGACGCUCAUGCACGAAAGCGUGGGGAGCAAACAGGAUUAGAUACCCCUGUAGUCCGACUGAGA
rnacentral:rRNA from 1 species